GUCCCUGUAGCGCAAUGGAUAGUAGUGCGUUGGACUUCUAAUUCACAGGUCGUGGGUUCGAAUCCCACCUGGGAUA